CCUACGGGUGGCAGCAGUGAGGAAUAUUGGUCAAUGGCCGAGAGGCUGAACCAGCCAAGUCGCGUGAGGGAAGAAUGUCCUAUGGAUUGUAAACCUCUUUUGUCAGGGAGCAAAGUCACCCACGUGUGGGUGUUGGAGAGUACCUGAAGAAAAAGCAUCGGCUAACUCCGUGCCAGCAGCCGCGGUAAUACGGAGGAUGCGAGCGUUAUCCGGAUUUAUUGGGUUUAAAGGGUGCGUAGGGGGGUUUUCAAGUCAGCGGUAAAAUCGUGGAGCUCAACUCCAUCCAGCAGUUGAAACGGAGAGCCUUGAGUGAGGGAGAGGUAGGCGGAAUGGGUGGUGUAGCGGUGAAAUGCGGAGAGAGCACGAAGAACUCCGAUUGCGAAGGCAGCAUGCCGG
rnacentral:rRNA from 1 species